GUCCAUGUUACUGACAUUGUGUGCUUCUGGUAAUGCUUCUUGAUGGCAAAAAGGAAUUUUUUUAGACAUUUAAAAGCUUGAAAUAGUCCAUCUUGAAUCCUUUUGUUUCUAUUUGUUUGUUUGUUACUUUAUAGUGUUUUUGUUUUUUGUGUUUGUGUGCGUGCUCAUGCAUAUGCAUAUGCAUAUUUAGCCAGUGAUACAUGACACUGGACAUGUAGGGUAAAUUCUCAUCUUGAUAACAUACAGUUGGACUCCAAUCCAUUUAGUCGCUUGACUCCCAUAUUCCUAUUUGGAAAUGCUAUAAGAAUCCUAUGAUGUAAUGAAAAAUAUUAACGGAGCUUGCUAUGCAACAUAUUUUCUUGAAACCUGUAAUGAAGCUUAAUGAAGGCAAAGGAAAAUAUUUUGGAACAUUUGACUGACACCCCUUGAGGUUGGUCUUUGAACAGGUUCCAUCUUAACCAAACCAACCAAACGAAACCGAGCCAUAAAUCCCAGUCAAUUAGAGUUGCCUUCUGUUUUCUCCAUUGAAGCUCUGUUGAGGACACGGUGUUUACAAAAAAAACAAAAAAAAACAAAAAAAAACAAAAAAAACUGGACCUUUUCGAACUACCAUUUUUAAAGUCAAUUUUGGUCUUCCCAUCCCUCGAGUACUACCUUGCAUUGUAACCAUAUUGGUUCCCAACUUCCCUUUUCUACCAAAUCGAUUGAUCUAGGAUAGACAUGUCCCAAAAACCUUAAUAUAUUUUCUCUCAUUUUAUUUUUUAGCAGUGCUAUCCUACCAUUCCGCGAAGUUUUUUAUUUCUAAUUUUAUCUCGCAAAGUCUUACCAUACAUCCAUCUCAAAUUUUCUUAUUUCAGUUACACUCAUUUUACUUACAUGUCAUUUCUUAAUAGCCCUCACUCCUUGCCAUAUGUAUGCUGGUCUUAUUGCAAUACGGUAGAAAGUUCCUUUCAACUUUGUGCCUUGUUGGUAUAUCCUUUGGUCGCAUGACAGCCUCAAAACACUCUGCCACAUGAACAUCAAUUUUUUUCUGUAUAUGUUGCAUAUUUGCAUCUUCCGCUUUAUCUCCCUACUAACAAUUGAGCCAAGAUACUUAAAAACACUCUUCUUGGUAAUUCUGAUUUUGCAGGGUAACAAGGCUGUUUUGCCAACACUAGGCACUUUCUAACUUGCAUUCCAUGUACUUAGUUUUAAUCCUGCUGAUCCCAAUCCUUCUCUCCAAGUUUCUAAUUCUGCAUUCACACUUCUUCCAGUUUCAUCUAGUAAAACAAAAUCGUGUACGGAUUACCCCUGCAUGUAUGAAAAAUGACAUUGCAACCUCCCCUCCAUCUUAAAAUCAAUGGCCAACCAACACAGUUAUCUUGAGCCAGCAAUGUCCAACAACACUGGCCAACACGUCAUCGAGUACCAACCCCACUAAACCCCCCCACUGCCUCUAUGCGACGGCCGAACCCCCCAACUUCACUCUGUCCACCAACGAUCUCUUACUUUGCCACCUGCCCUUGUAUGCUCCUCGUCCUUAGUGCCCGGUUAUCUAUCAUGAGAUUGAACAAUAACCAACAAUUAUUGCAACCAUUGGCACACCUCUUAUUCUAAACCCCAACAGUUGGACCCUGUUGGAAUCAGAAUCAGAGGAUGCACGAACUGGUUGAGAUAAUUGGCUGCAAGAUGUAGAGGAGACAAAUGAGGGUGGACGUGAGGAUUUUUUAGGUUUGCAAAUGAGGGGGCAUAAUGCCCAAAAACUCGAACUCGUGCCUUUGUCAACAAACCCAUAAGAUCCGAAUCCCCAAAACCAAUUGACCCAAUUGUUACCUACCUCUGCCUUGCAAAACCUCAUUUCCCCAAUUUUAAGGCACUUUUAUUUAGAAAUGGUAGGCACUUGGCCUGUUUGGGCAGCAAUUUGGCCCCAAAUUGGGUUGGUCAAGUUUGGGCAACUGCAAGCUUGUUCUUUGAUGACCAAAUACCAGUGACCUCUUCGUAUGGAGCAGUCAUGGAGUCUUAUACUCCAAUACUCUAAAGUCUAAGUUUUCUCCAACCAAGGGAGAAUAAUGUAGUCCAUACAAAGAGGUCACGGGUAUUUGGUAAUUUCAUAUGGUUGGAAGUUAUGGCCUUUAUGGAUUGGAGGGCUAGUUCAUUAGCCACUAAAUGGACCCAAUAAAAGUCUAUUAAAGGCUGUGACUUUUCAUUUAGGGUCCAUUUGAUUAGUGAGAUAAUGGUGGAAAAUGCAAGAAAGAGAAAAAAAUAUAUACUUUUUUUGUGUUCACUUAGCAAGAAUAUCCUAGAAAGUGGUUGAAAGUGAACUUUUCUGCACAACCCUCUAAAGCAUGAGAGCUUGCUUUACUUUUUCUCACAAAAUGUGCAGGAAAAUUUUAUUUUCUCAAGAAAAUCAACAAUUACUCUAACUUCCUUCUUUAUCCUCUUCCCUCCACCUUUUCUCUUCUAAUUUCGGCAAUUUUAUUCCCUCCAAACAAGGAUAUCUUAUUUUCUCUACUAUUUUCUUGCAAAACUUUCAUUCUAAUCAAACGGAUGUGAGGAAUUUUUUUUUUUCUUUUCUUUCACUUCACUUUCUAUCAUUUUCACUUCCCAUUUUACUUUUCUCGCUAAUCAAACGGACCCUUAGGGAGCUUUGACCCACAAUCAAUGUAUUCAAUCAUCACACAACUCAUUCAUCCUAUAGGAGCAGUUUUGGCAUUAAAAACAUUAGGAGCCUAUAAAUUGAUGUACUUCAAGAGUUUGAGAUAUGAAUGAUUGAUGCCUUGUUUGGAUGGUAUUUUGAAAAAAAAAAUUUCCAACUCAAAAAACACUCAUUACCCCUACUUCCAAUCAUUACUCUCAUUUCUCUCUCCUCUCUCUAAUCAUUAUUCUCAUUUCUAUCUCUAUCUCUCUCCACUCAUUACCUCAAUCUCAAAUUAUUACUCUAAUUUCUCUCUCCACUCAUUACCCAAAAACCAAACUCAAAAAUUUUCAAAACACCAUCCAAACAAGACAUGAAUGAAUAAGAAUUCGCAAAAGCUUAUAGCUUUGAAGAUUGUGUGAUGCAAUCCUUUCUUUGGUGUGAUGCUAAAGAGCCCCUAGGUGUGAUGCCUAGACCUAUCUUCCUAUAAACCCUUCUUCUCCUCUUUCUACAGUUCACGUACAUGGUUCACUGUCCCAAAGCAGCCCCUUUUCUUCGUGUUUGAUUAUACUCGGCCAUACUUCAAUCCCGUCCUGCAUCAUUGAGUGGAGUUGUUGGUUUAGUUGGAUUUGAAGGUGGAGGACAAUAUGGUUUAUUGGGGAUCCAUGUGUCAACAGCUAGUAGUUUGAUUGUUGAAGUAGUAUGUAGAGAGUUUUGCUUUGUGGUUUUGAUGUCGCUACUUAUUGCGAGAUGAUUGAGCUGUGGUGAACUAGUUGUUGCUGGUCAUAUUAAGGCAUUGCUAGAAUGGCACAGUUAAUCACGAAUUCACAAUACUGAGAUGUAUGCAGGAGGUGAUCUCAUUCUCUCUUUUUUCAUUUUGUUGUUUCUUUUUGGGUGGGUGGAGAAAAAUGUUGGGCUUUAACUUUUUUAAAGUAAUACUUGGUAAAUGAGAUAAGACCAUUCUAGGGCUAAAAUAAGCAUUUUAUAAGUUCUUAAUUGCUGAUGUAAUCAUUGGUCUAAAUGACUAAUUUCAGUGAAUGUGAGUAGAAACCUUGAGGAGAGGUAUUCAGUUCUCAUAGGUUGAAUAGGAAUCUAUAUUCUACAUAAAGUGCAAACCUCUGCUUACCAUACCUCCGUUACCCAAGUGUCAAGUGUCUGAUACGGACAUUCCAGAAUAGAUGAGUCCAAUUACCUAUAGUAGUCCAUUUGUUCUAUCACUUAUAUAGGAGCCUGUAGACUGUGCAGUCUUCAGAACAAAGGCCACAAAUUUGACACUGCUCCAAAGUUAUUUUGGGUCCACAAAAAUUGACUUCCAGCGUCUCAGGCAUUUUGAUCCUUUUUCAUUUCUAAAUUCUCGAAUAAAACAAGAGCUUAAUAUUGCCAAUAUGGGUUCUCUACCUUUUUGCUGACCUUUCUUAGUUAAUAGCUGACUUUCACACGAGUACCUCUGUGUAGCUCGAGUUCUGCUGACAUUUCUUCGUUAAUAGCUGACUUUCACGGGAGUACCUCUUUGUAGCUGAGUUCUUACUGCAUAGAUUACAAAGUGAUAUCUAUUGGGAAGGUUGCUAUGCUAGAGUGGCACAGGUUGAAGUUCAUUGCAUGCAUGUUUGGCCUCUAACAAUUCUUUCAUGGAUUUAGAGACCGUUGACCGCUUGACAUAAACUUAAAGUUGGUCCUUUACUUGUAAAUUAUAUUGGACGGAAAUGAUACAUUUCAACGUCUGAAGUUACUAUUGUAGAGAAUAGAAUAAGUCUUGCGAUAGGUAGGCUCUAUGUUUCUAUAUGUAAAACUGGAAAAUGUUACAUUACUCCAGCUUUGCAUUUGCCAUCAGGUACAUACUUGAUCAUACUUCAUACUCCUGUUACUGGGGCAACGAAGGAAAUGUCCUUCAUUUUCUGUUUUUUUCCCACAUUAGGCUUGUUUUAUUUAAUUGAUAGUUGAUUUGUUUAACUUGAGAGAUGGAAAAAAUUGUUAUUGUGGUUUCUAAUUUGGGAGAAGUGGUUUUGAUGAUCUCUUUCAGUGGUUUAAAUAGUUAAUAGUUACAGCAGAAUCACUUACAUUAUAAACCCAUUAUAUUUGUUCUAAAAGUGUCUCAUCUAAUGGUAGUAUGAUGCAGAAUACUGUUCCUUUCUCCCUGAAUAUUUAAAUUCAUGUAUAGGAUGCUAACUUUUCAUAUGCCAAAAUUUGGACAUGUGAUGUACCAGUCCUGUUCCUGUUCCUGUUCCUGUUCCACACGCUGAAUUGAUUUUCCUAAAUAAUGAAAAGUUGUGUGAAUAUUUUUGCAGAUAGUUUUAAUGGGGGCUUGUUUCUGAUGCAAAAAUGCUGGGUUAAGACAAAACCAGAAUCAAAAACUAGAAAAAGCUUCCAAAUUAAGAAGGAAGUUGGUCUAUUUGUAGGGUUGAUAACUUGUCAACAGGUACCAUAGAGGCCUAUCAAAUAGAAAAAUCAGCAACAUCCAAUAGUAGCUGUCAGAAAACAAUCAACAACAGCCAUAGAUGUCUCGAGUUCAGACAGUUGACAAUGCAAGUACUCUUGAGAGUGCUCAUGUACUGGUGCAAGAACAUCCAAUUUGAAUUUGUGUUCAAUUACAAGUUUACAA